UCUUUCUCUAGAGACUUUCAAAACCCAACAGGAUGCAUUCCUGUGUGACAUGAUUUAGGUGUUCCUGCUCCAGCAGGGGGAUUGGACUAGAUAAUCUUCCAAGGUCCCUUCCAAUCCCUAACAUUUUGUGACUGUAAUAUUGGAAG